UGAGCGACCUACCUAAUUGUGGGGGAUAGCCGGCCCAACGGCCGGGUAAUACCGCAUACGAUCGGAGAGGGGCAUCCCUUUCUGAGGAAAGCCUUCGGGCGCAAUUUGAGGGGCUCGCGGCCUAUCAGCUAGUUGGCGGGGUAACGGCCCACCAAGGCGACGACGGGUAGCUGGUCUGAGAGGAUGGCCAGCCACAUUGGGACUGAGACACGGCCCAGACUCCUACGGGGAGGCAG
rnacentral:rRNA from 1 species